rnacentral:rRNA from 1 species
CAUGCUAUACAUGCAAGUCGAACGCACAGCGAAAGGUGCUUGCACCUUUCAAGUGAGUGGCGAACGGGUGAGUAACACGUGGACAACCUGCCUCAAGGCUGGGGAUAACAUUUGGAAACAGAUGCUAAUACCGAAUGAAACUUAGUGUCGCAUGAUACGAAGUUAAAAGGCGCUUUGGCGUCACCUAGAGAUGGAUCCGCGGUGCAUUAGUUAGUUGGUGGGGUAAAGGCCUACCAAGACAAUGAUGCAUAGCCGAGUUGAGAGACUGAUCGGCCACAUUGGGACUGAGACACGGCCCAAACUCCUACGGGAGGCUGCAGUAGGGAAUCUUCCACAAUGGGCGAAAGCCUGAUGGAGCAACGCCGCGUGUGUGAUGAAGGCUUUCGGGUCGUAAAGCACUGUUGUAUGGGAAGAACAGCUAGAAUAGGGAAUGAUUUUAGUUUGACGGUACCAUACCAGAAAGGGACGGCUAAAUACGUGCCAGCAGCCGCGGUAAUACGUAUGUCCCGAGCGUUAUCCGGAUUUAUUGGGCGUAAAGCGAGCGCAGACGGUUGAUUAAGUCUGAUGUGAAAGCCCGGAGCUCAACUCCGGAAUGGCAUUGGAAACUGGUUAACUUGAGUGCAGUAGAGGUAAGUGGAACUCCAUGUGUAGCGGUGGAAUGCGUAGAUAUAUGGAAGAACACCAGUGGCGAAGGCGGCUUACUGGACUGUAACUGACGUUGAGGCUCGAAAGUGUGGGUAGCAAACAGGAUUAGAUACCCUGGUAGUCCACACCGUAAACGAUGAACACUA